CAGUCUCCUUCUUCAACAGUGUUUGAAAGGAUCCUG
rfam:Loxodonta africana unplaced genomic scaffold scaffold_11, whole genome shotgun sequence.